GCUUUCCUACGGGGCGCAGCAGUAGGGAAUCUUCCACAAUGGGCGAAAGCCUGAUGGAGCAACGCCGCGUGGGUGAAGAAGGUCUUCGGAUCGUAAACCCCUGUUGUUAGAGAAGAAAGUGCGUGAGAGUAACUGUUCACGUUUCGACGGUAUCUAACCAGAAAGCCACGGCUAACUACGUGCCAGCAGCCGCGGUAAUACGUAGGUGGCAAGCGUUAUCCGGAUUUAUUGGGCGUCACG
rnacentral:rRNA from 1 species